UUAGAUACCCUGGUAGUCCACGCAGUAAACGAUGAAUGCUGGUUGUCCGGGUCGAAUGAGAUCUGGGCGGCGAAGCGAAAGCGAUAAGCAUUCCACCUGGGGAGUACGCCGGCAACGGUGAAACUCAAAGGAAUUGACGGGGGCCCGCACAAGCGGAGGAACAUGUGGUUUAAUUCGAUGAUACGCGAGGAACCUUACCCGGGCUCAAACGGGAGCGGAAUGGACCAGAGACGGUUCAGCCUACGGGCCGCUUCCGAGGUGCUGCAUGGUUGUCGUCAGCUCGUGCCGUGAGGUGUCGGCUUAAGUGCCAUAACGAGCGCAACCCCCGCCGGCAGUUGCUAACGGGCAAUGCCGAGGACUCUGCCGGGACUG
rnacentral:rRNA from 1 species